UACAGAGGGGGCAAGCGUUGUUCGGAAUUACUGGGCGUAAAGGGCGCGUAGGCGGCCUGCUAAGUCGAACGUGAAAUCCCUGGGCUCAACCCAGGAACUGCGUCCGAUACUGGUUGGCUUGAAUCCGGGAGAGGGAUGUGGAAUUCCAGGUGUAGCGGUGAAAUGCGUAGAUAUCUGGUGGAACACCGGUGGCGAAGGCGACAUCCUGGACCGGUAUUGACGCUGAGGCGCGAAAGCCAGGGGAGCAAACGGG
rnacentral:rRNA from 1 species